rnacentral:rRNA from 1 species
GUGGGGAAUUUUGGACAAUGGGCGCAAGCCUGAUCCAGCCAUGCCGCGUGAGUGAAGAAGGCCUUCGGGUUGUAAAGCUCUUUCGGCCGGGAAGAAAUCGCGCCUGUGAAUAAUGGGCGUGGAUGACGGUACCGGAAGAAGAAGCACCGGCUAACUACGUGCCAGCAGCCGCGGUAAUACGUAGGGUGCGAGCGUUAAUCGGAAUUACUGGGCGUAAAGCGUGCGCAGGCGGCUACAUAAGACAGCUGUGAAAGCCCCGGGCUUAACCUGGGAACUGCGGUUGUGACUGUGUGGCUAGAGUGUGGCAGAGGGGGGUGGAAUUCCACGUGUAGCAGUGAAAUGCGUAGAGAUGUGGAGGAACACCGAUGGCGAAGGCAGCCCCCUGGGUCGCCACUGACGCUCAUGCACGAAAGCGUGGGGAGCAAACAGGAUUAGAAACCCCAGUAGUCC